CCAGGGAGGCUGGUUUGGAGGA
rnacentral:miRNA from 1 species